rnacentral:lncRNA from 1 species
CAGCUGUGGAACAGCAGCAGGAUACGGAAGAGUGAGACUGGGAAUUGAACCUCGGGCGUUUCGGGGAGGCCUCGAGUCUGCCCUCUGGUGUUUUGCUCUUGACGCUGGGUCGAUUUGGGCCCCUCUCGAGUGCGGCCUCCUGGGAGGGAGCUACGGGACAGGCGGCGGGACUGGGGAGCGAGCGGAGGCGGCAGACACAGGCGCUGGAGCUCGGCCACCAGGUCGGGGUCACGUUUACCCUCCCCGCCCGUCCGCCCUUCCCGAGUCCACCAAGCCACCUCCCGGCUGCCCCCGCCUCUUUAUUUUGCUCUUCAAAUUAUUUGUAGUCUGUGUCUGUCCACUAAGAGGUCCAGGCAGCACUUCCCCUUCUCUGGCUUAUUUCCGAGCUGGCGGGGCGGACUGUCUCGCGGAGGAAAAUGGGCCUCUGGUCUUUGGGGCUGCAGACCCAGGCUGUCCCGAUGUCCAGGGUGCGUCCGGGGGGGGGAGCAGGCAGGGCCGAGGGGCCGCCCGGCCCCGGCCUUCCUCAGCGUGGAGGCCGGAACAGGGCCGUUCAUGCCAUGCCUUGGUCGACUGAGACAUGGAACUUGGGUCUCUCUCCAGAGGCACAGCAAGCAUCGGCUUAGAACUUCCCCACAAGCAGUCUACAGACCCGGUCACUGCAGCGUGGAUACCAGAAGCCCUUGGUAAAGAUGAUUUAAGCUGGCCGGGCGUGUUGGCGCACGCCUGUAAUCUCAGCACUUGGGGAGGCUGAAGCAGGAAGAUCACAAGUUCAAGCCCAGCCCGGGCAAUUUAGUGUGAGAUCCUGGAUCAAAAUUAAAACCAGGCUGAGAUAUAGCUCAGUGGCACCGUGCCUGCCUGGAAAACGUCCUGAGUUUGAUCCCCGGUACCACCAAAACAAACAAACAAACUACCCCCCACCCCCAACCCUGGAAUGGAUCUCGGCCUGAAAGCCCUGAGUUCACUCCCCAGUAGAGCAGAGCAAUGAGCUGGGUGUGGUGGCACAUACACAUCUGUAAGACCACUAACCUGGAGGGCUGAGGCAGGAAGAUCGGAAGUUCAAGCCCAGAGUGAUCGAUUUAGGGACCUAGUGAGACCCUGUCAAAAAGAAAAAAAAAAAAUGGAGAGAAUAAUUUGGCCUGGCCAGUAGAUGGCGCCUGAGGCUUAUGAUAAUUUUCAAAACAGGGUUAGAAAUACUUUUGUUACAGCUAAUGAUUGUAAUUUAGCAUAGUAACAACAGCAAUGGCAGAGACCACCAGUUCCUUUCAAGAUGUUUGGCUCAAAAAUAAACAAAUGGAAGAGGGGGUCAGCUCUUAGAACAGCGAGCAGGAAACGCAAGUUGACUUAAAUGCAGAGAAAGAGGGUGACCCAUCAGGAGGUGACGGGAGCAGAAGGGAGGGCAACGAGGAAUCGUUGGAGCAGAGCAGCAAAAAGUCAAAUCAAAUCAAAUCAAAUCAGUCUCUCCAAAGGAUCGGGGACAGGGACAGGAGUGAGUUAGAGAGGGCCAGGGAGUAAAAGUCAAGUCCUUUUUCAGUUCUUACAGCUGCAACCGAAAUGUGAACCAGACACCAUGGGGCUCCGCAGAGAAGGUGGCAGGGAAAGGUCCAGGAAGCAGAUGCAAGGGCUGGAGGUGUGCACAGAUGCAGCCACUGUAGGGCAUGGAGGCAGGGUGGGCUGGUCCUAGAGGUCAGGGAGGACACAGGGCCAGUCCCAGCUGUAGGAGCCAGUGUGCAGAUGGGGACAGCUCUAAAGGAGAGGAAUCCGUAGCCUCAACACAGAGGGUGGAAUCAGCUUCUUCCUGCAUGGCUGAAGGCGCGUGGAUGAGGAAGUAGAUUCCCGGGCCUGCGCUCCUGAUGAAAGGACCCAGAGGAGGCAGGAGGCACAGAGGGCUCAGGGCCCCUAGCAGAGCUGCCCUGGAGGUUCUGUAACCGGAUACAGGGUAGGUUUUUAAACCAUGAUCUUAAAAAAGGAAAUCUUGCCUCUUGGGCCCCUCCGACCACCCUUUGAGUUUCCGUGUGGUCAUCAGCCUGUGGGUGCCCUGAGGAAGGACCCUGCCAUGGGUUACUUGUGUGGUACCUUCGCUCCUUAGUGUCCCAGCGUCUGAGCAGCCUGUUCAGGCUCCCUUUGGCCUCGUCAGCUGGAACCUCAGAGCCUGCACCGUCUCCGGAGAGGCCUCAAGCCAAGGGCUGUCUCCCGCUGUUGCAUCCCUGGUCAUUCAUCUACUUGGGGCUGAUUUAUAACACUGUGCAGCGGAGUAACCUGGAGGAAUACAGACUAGAGGCUGGUGCCUGACGUUGGGAAUGGAGAGAGAUGGAUCGAACAGGGUGCAGGAGAGGUCUGGGGUGAUGUCCUCAACGGCUCUCAUCUGGAUGAUUUGUUGUAUAUCUCUGUCAAAACACAUUAAAUCAUAUGCUUAAAUCUGUGCAGCUAUUACAUGCAGAUAGUAAGGUUGUAGGGAAUAGAAUUGCUGUAAUGUACAGUUGCAACAAAAUUGGAACAUUGAACUAACUUUCAAAUGGUGCCAUAUGUGAUAGAAAACAAGGUACUACAGCCGGUCGGAUCUGGAGUGAGCCUGGAGGUGUUGGAGGCUUUGCCCCCACUGGCACUGCUGGGAGGUGUGUGACCUUUAGGAGGCGGAGCCUGGGGGACGUCUUCCGGUGCUGAGGAGUACCCUGGAUGGCUCCCUUCCUUUAUUCUCUUUUCACUGUCUGGUCAGGAAGUGAGCAGCUUCGCUCUGCCGUCCACUCCCCACCGUGGUGUGCUGCUUCGUCACAGGCCCCCAAAGCAGCAGGUCCAACUGACCAAGGACUGAACUCUCCAAAACUGAGAGCCGAAGCCAAACCUUCUUAUUUUAAGUUAUUCAUCCUAGGUAUUCUGUCACAGUGAUAGAAGCCUAUCACAACCCCUAAGUAUACAACAGAGAGACUCUUAAAUGUAUACCAUGAGAUAUAUUUAGGACAGUUGUUGUAGAAUUAUUUGUAGUAGGAAUAAAAUAGUAAUAUCUAAAUAUUUUCCUAAAUGCAUUUUCUGUCCAUUCCCUACCCAUUUUUCUACUGAGUGGUUCUUUUUAAAUCUAGGAAUGCUUUAUUAUACAUUGAGGUAAUAGAUUUAGAUAGUAUAUCAAUAGAAAGGAGAGCUACGAAUUCAUCAAAAAGAAAUUAACACUGCAUGUAUGAAUAUGAAUAAAUCUCAUAAAGUACAGAAAAGUAUUUAGUAUGAUAUUGGGUAAAGUUUAAAAACAUGCAAUAGUAAAACAUUUUUUAGGGAUUCAUAUGCUUAUCUUAAAAGUAUGAAAAAAAGGCCUCGAGAUGAGAAAUAACAAAUUUGGUAUUUUUCUCUGAGGUAAAAGGAAGUUGAUAUAAUUGGAAAAAUUACCCAGGGGUUUGCGUUACAUUGUCCUAGUCACGGCCUAUUUCUGAUGCUAAGUGUGAGGGCACAGGUUUCUCCUUUUAUUCUUUAUACCUUAUUUGUAUGUGUUAAAUAAUUAUAAGUAGUUCUAUCUCAGAAAUACAUACACAUUUUUCCUUUUACCAAUUGCUCUGAUGUCCCAUCUCCUCUCUCGUGGCUCAUAGCCUCCCUCUGGCUGUAGCUCCCUGCAACCACGGUUAUUUCAUAGUGUGGGCUGGGCAGACUCACCCUGCCUGUUCUUGUGCCCCGUGAUGGGAAUGUCCACUCACAGGCCCUCUCUCCUCCCAGGGAAGGGGACAUCGGAGAAGCCACUGAAGGCCCAUCUUCCACAUCGCUGGCCUGGUCUGGCUGCUGUAGCAGCUCCAGGCUGUGCGACGGUGGGGUUGCAGUAGUGUUUACUUUUGUUUUAGACAAUGGGAAUUUAAAAGGAGGGUGAUAUGGAGAAAUACUUAAAGGAGUAUGAAAAUAAUGUGCUUAUUUUCAUUACAUUUAAUUUGAUAAUAAUCAGUUGACUUUGCUUGAGCCCUUAACCUAAGUUUUUGGAACAAGUUAAGUCAGUUCGAGCUCACUUUUUUCCACAGUGAUAAUAGACAAUUAGUGCCCAUCACUCUUUACGUAUUGUUCUUUCCUGUGCUGAAGUUGCUUACUAAAUGUUUCCCACUUCUUUCUACUUUGAACUAAACAGUUCUUAAGUGUAUUUCCACUGCUUGCCUAUUAUUGAGCAUACAUCAUCCACCCUGUGUGCCUUAAUCUCCCCAGGCAUCAUGUUUUAUGAUGCAGGGCAUGCACACAGCCUUGUGUUUCACUGAGGUCAUCCUAAUUUCUCUUUCUUUUCCAAACUACCACAAUAUAGCACUUGUUGCAUUUUAAAACUUGAGCUGGCUACUGGGAAUACAACUGGUGGCAUGUGUAUUACAUGUGCAGAGCAAGCACAGUUUAUCACAGGAGAAGCUGGUCUGGCCCCAGUGUUUGGUCGCUGGUUUCCUUGAUGACUCACCCAUAAUCCUGCUGUCAGCCUAAGUCAGUCUCCUGGCAUCAGUACAGAAUCUGUUAUGAGGUUUUCAUCCUACAGCCCUUGAGAGGAAAAUACUAGGCUGAUAACAGAGCAAUUUUUUUCUUGAAUUGUAUAACUUUUCUCUCUUCUGGAAAUGAGUGAUAUUAUUUACACAACUUGGGAAAAUACAUCCUGGGAACUUUGAUGUUUGAAAAGUGGUGUGAAAAUUCAUUCAUAUUUUAAAAAUUGAGUCUGAGUAAAUAGGAGAAAAUUGAGAAGGAAACACCCAGAGUGUUGGCAGGAGUAAGAAAUUUGUGGAAAUAGGAUUGUAGAAAUGGAGACCUCGAAUAUAUCUACACUAUAUAAUAUUUAAACAUGUGAUCUAAGAAUAUUUUGGGUAAUUUUUCCUAUUUAAUCAUUUUCAAAAUGAUGUUUAAGAAAAUAUGGCUUGUGUCUAGAUGUCCCCCACAAAAGCCUCAUAUGCUCAUAGGUGGAGCUUUUCAGAGCUGGCUGGAACUAGGGUGUGUGCUACUGGGAUUAAAGGUGCAAUAAUUGGAUUAAUCCACUGAUUAGUGUUGUUCUGGGUGUAGGUGAUGGGAAGCCCCACCCUUGGCAUGGGUGGCACCAAUCAAUAGGCUUGUAGCCCAGAUGAAAUGUGAAGAGAAAGAGGGAAGGCAGGCUUGUUGCUUUCUGCCUGCCCUGCCAGGGACUAUUUCUCCUCUGCCUUCCACCCUGCCUUGGAGGCAGCUGACUGUGGACUGACAUCUCUACAAACUGUGAG